UGGUUGAAGUACCUACCUAUAGGCUGCGCAGGCAAAUCCACGCGGCUUGGGGAAAUACGAUAGUACUCGGAGUCUUCGGACAAAGAGAUAGUACACCUAAGGGCUUCCAAGAAAAACCUCUAAACUUCAGAUUAUAAGUACCCGUACCGCGAACCGACACAGGUAGUCGAGGAGAGAAUCCUAAGGUGCUCGAGAGAUUCAUGGCUAAGGAAUUAGGCAAAAUAGACCCGUAACUUCGGGAGAAGGGUCGCCCCGAGUAAUCGGGGCCGCAGUGAAGAGGUCCAGGCGACUGUUUAUCAAAAACACAGGGCUCUGCAAAAUCGUAAGAUGAAGUAUAGGGCCUGACACCUGCCCGGUGCUGGAAGGUUAAGAGGAGAUGUUAUCUUCGGAGAAGCAUUGAAUUGAAGCCCCAGUAAACGGCGGCCGUAACGAUAACGGUCCUAAGGUAGCGAAAUUCCUUGUCGGGUAAGUUCCGACCUGCACGAAUGGUGUAACGAUCUGGACACUGUCUCAGCCAUGAGCUCGGUGAAAUUGUAGUAACGGUGAAGAUGCCGUUUACCCGCAGUGGGACGAAAAGACCCUGUGCACCUUUACUAUAGCUUAGUAUUGACCUUGGAUAAAUGAUGUGUAGGAUAGGUUGGAGACUGUGAAGUGGCGUCGCCAGGCGUUGUGGAGUCAUUGUUGAAAUACAACCCUUUGUUUAUCUGAGGCCUAACCCCGUUUUGCGGGGGACAUUGCUUGGUGGGUAGUUUGACUGGGGUGGUCGCCUCCAAAAGAGUAACGGAGGCUUCUAAAGGUUCCCUCAGUACGCUUGGUAACCGUGCGUAGAGUGCAAUGGCAUAAGGGAGCUUGACUGAGAGACAUACAGGUCGAUCAGGUACGAAAGUAGAGCAUAGUGAUCCGGUGGUUCCGCAUGGAAGGGCCAUCGCUCAAAGGAUAAAAGGUACGCCGGGGAUAACAGGCUGAUCUCCCCCAAGAGCUCAUAUCGACGGGGGGGUUUGGCACCUUGAUGUCGGCUCGUCACAUCCUGGGGCUGGAGAAGGUCCCAAGGGUUGGGCUGUUCGCCCAUUAAAGUGGCACGCGAGCUGGGUUCAGAACGUCGUGAGACAGUUCGGUCUCUAUCUACUGUGGGCGCAAGAAAUUUGAAUGGAUCUGAUUCUAGUACGAGAGGACCGAAUUGGACUAACCUCUAGUGUAUCUGUUGUUCCGCCAGGAGCAUCGCAGAGUAGCUACGUUGGGAAGGGAUAAGCGCUGAAAGCAUAUAAGCGCGAAACCCACCAUAAGAUGAGAUUUCUUUUAAGGAUCGUGGGAGAUGACCACGUUGAUAGGCUAUAGAUGUAAAGGCAGUAAUGUCAUAGUCGAGUAGUACUAAUAAUCCGAAG
rnacentral:rRNA from 1 species